CCUCAGGUGAAUUAGGAUCAGUCAAUCGCACGGAGCUCAGGUGAGACCGAUGGUUUGAACUGAUCCGGGUUUUGGACCGGUGUCUCCUCAGUGUGGCGCUCACCUGGUGAAAGAAUAACAAGCUGCUGCUGCUCCACACCAACCUGAGGACGUGGUUGAAAACUGCUAUAUUUUGUUUUCGUUGAAGAUACUUUGACGUCACAGCAGGACAGGUUCUGAUCUGUGGUCUGCAGGAAUCAAAUGAAAUAAACUCACUGCUGCGCGACACAUUCAAACAAUACAGCUGCAGGAACCAGAGCCUCCCUCCUCCACUCCCCUCACAGUGGCUCCAGUUCUCCCUCCAGUCUUUCCACUCGCUGGUUCUGGAGGAGCCGGUCUAUUGGCUGGUGGCUCUGUCGGCCCGGGCCUGGCUCCGUAGCUUCCUGGCUGAGGAGCUACUGCAGCGCAAGCCUGGUCCCCAGCUAAUGCCUGGGGUCGACUCCUCCUAUCAGGAGUGGAGCAGGGACAGUCUGCAGGAGGUCGCCUGGACCCACAGGUUCAAAGUGGUGAUGGAAGAGAACCAGGACAAGAUGGACGUGUUCAAAGCGAUCAACAUCUUCAGAGAACACAUGAUGAACCAGAAGAGUUUCUACAAAGCUUUAGACUGUGACGUUGAUGAUGAGGGCUGAUGAAGAGGAGCAGGUCGGAGCAGCUGCCGAAGAUGAGUCACAACUAUUUUUGCUGGUGAAUGUUUCCUGAGUCGCUGCUUUUACUACUUUUUUUUUGUAGUUCACUCUUUAUUGAAUCUUUUUUAAUAUAGAAAUUUGGCAUCAUCCAAAGAUUUAAAUGACACUUUGUUCUAGAGCUCAAAAUCAGUUUUUAAUCUGUAUUGUCUGUGUGAUACACAAAACUUAAUUUAAACAUAAUUCAGGAACUGGGGUUGAUAUUAUCCAAGUUUUAUGAUUUCCAGAGUUUCCAGUUUUUCGGGUCCAGACAGAAGCUGAAACUGUAAAAGUCCAAACUGUGUUACUGCUGAACACUGAGUGUGAACAAUAAAACAAUGACAACAAAAUAAAAUACACGGGACAGUGAGAGCUGCUACUUUGAGUUCACUUCACGUCUCAGCUCAGCCUUUUCACAAACACCUGUCUCUGUCUCCCCCUACAGGCUGAGUUAGGACACUGCACCAUUCAACAUGAACACAGCUGCAAAAUACUACUGCAGUAUUUGACUGGGUACUACUGAUACCACUCUCAUCAAUAUCCUACUGUCACCACCGCUGAUUAAACUACUUACAA